CCUACGGGUUGCAGCAGUGGGGAAUAUUGCACAAUGGGCGGAAGCCUGAUGCAGCGACGCCGCGUGAGGGAUGACGGCCUUCGGGUUGUAAACUUCUUUCGCUAGGGAAGAAGCUACUUUUUGUGGCGACGGUACCUGGAUAAGAAGCACCGGCUAACUACGUGCCAGCAGCCGCGGUAAUACGUAGGGUGCAAGCGUUGUCCGGAAUUACUGGGCGUAAAGAGCUCGUAGGUGGUUUGUCGCGUCGUUAGUGAAAGCCCGGGGCUUAACUCCGGGUCUGCUGGCGAUACGGGCAUAACUUGAGUGCUGUAGGGGAGACUGGAAUUCCUGGUGUAGCGGUGGAAUGCGCAGAUAUCAGGAGGAACACCGAUGGCGAAGGCAGGUCUCUGGGCAGUAACUGACGCUGAGGAGCGAAAGCAUGGGUAGCGAACAGGAUUAGAUACCCGUGUAGUC
rnacentral:rRNA from 1 species